rnacentral:rRNA from 1 species
GCUUGAUUGCAAGACAUACAGGUCGAGCAAGGAUGAAAAUCGGACUUAGUGAUCCGGUGGUUCUGCGUGGAAGGGCCAUCGCUCAACGGAUAAAAGCUACCCUGGGGAUAACAGGCUUAUCUCCCCCAAGAGUCCACAUCGACGGGGAGGUUUGGCACCUCGAUGUCGGCUCAUCACAUCCUGGGGCUGUAGUAGGUCCCAAGGGUUGGGCUGUUCGCCCAUUAAAGUGGUACGCGAGCUGGGUUCAGAACGUCGUGGGACAGUUCGGUCCCUAUCCGUCGCAGGCGUAGGAAAUUUGAGAAGACCUGUCCUUAGUACGAGAGGACCGGGAUGGACGUACCUCUGGUGUACCAGUUGUCCUGCCAAGGGCAUGGCUGGGUAGCUAUGUACGGAAUGGAUAAGCGCUGAAAGCAUCUAAGCGCGAAGCCAACUUCAAGAUAAGAUUUCCCACCGCAAGGGUAAGACCCCAGAAAGACUAUCUGGUUGAUAGGUCGAAGGUGUAAGUGCAGCAA